UGAUCUGCUGCAUCUUCUGUGAAGCUGCUUGUGCUGAAGGCCAUGCAAACUGUCCGUUCAGGCAUGGUGACGUCCACGAAAAGUCAUCCCGCGGGGUCUUGAUGUCACAAUCUUUCAGUUAUGAGGUGGAGCAUGGAGAGGGAGAGGUCUCUGCUGCCGCAAGGCUUCCGAGGCUCGCAAGGGAGAUCGGGCUCUGCUGCUCUCUACCUUUGCUCAACCGAGAGGCUGGACAUCUAGGAAUACGAGAGCCGACAUGGUGAGUGUGUGGACCGCAGUGUGCAGAGGGGGAAGGCGGAGCCGAAGGUCAGGAGGUCUCUCUGCUACUGUGUGAUUUGGACACUGUGGUUUUAUUUUAUCUACAAGGAACCUGAGAAUAAAAGAGGCCAAGCAGCUUGACAACACAAAUAGGAUGUGGGCCAUUCCAAGGUGGUUGCUGGAUUCAUGUCUUCCUGCAAUGUGACUGAAAAGCUGAAGACAAAUUUGGAGAUCAUCAGGUCUAAACAUUGAAGAGUCAGAAUAAAAAUUUUUGAUCUGCCCAGAGUAUCAGCCAGUGAAAGCACCCUGGUGUUAUCUACCCUUCUGUAUUGUGGCAAAGGAUGAUGAAACAGUGUUCAGCAUUCUGCAGAUUAUAUGGUCUAAACACAGCAUGGACAUCAGUGGGUGCAGCUUCCCUCAUCUCUACAGCCAUGUGUUCACAGUAACAAAUAAGGGAUGAAAAGACCGUAUUGGACUCUCUGUCUCAUUGUGACUGGAUCAUCAUGGUACAUCAGGAGUGCUGCUUUUAUGCUAAUUGCUCCAGCAUCAUUAAGGACAAGAUAAAGACCCUCCAAGAAGACCUUGAAGCUCUAGUUACCUGUGGUUGGGGCUUGGGGAUGGCUUCCUUAUCUCCUCCCCCUUGUGGGCCCCUUGGUCUCCAUUGUCCUUGUAAAUUUGUCCAAGAUUGCAUCACUGCAGUCCAGUUAAUGGUGGUCCAACAACAAUAUGCCACUCUUUAAGAACCGGGUUAUGCUGCUCUUCAAGCACCAGAUUGGAAACCCUAUAUAUCUGCCCAUGGCCGCUGCCAAGAUGUAGAGGUAUAAUACAUCAGACUCUGAGUUGCUGAGGUGGUAGCCAAUGAUGGGUAAGAUCCCCUUGGGGUAGCCCUUAACAGCUGGAGAAGUAGUCAAAGACAGGUAAGAUCCCCAGAGGGGGACAAUCUAAGGUAGACAUGCUCCCUAAAAGGCUGAUACCAGUCAGAGGGGACAACCUAAGACAGGCACCCUAUCCGCUCAGUUCCUCUUCCUCUCUUUAAUAUAAAACAAAAAGGGGGAAAUCUUGGGCAUUGCUUAAAAUCUCCAUUACAAUAUGGCACCUGGCAGAUGUUCGAGGGGCAUGUCUGCAGCUGCUGAUCAGACCACCAGCAGGGAUAGGUCUGCUUUAGUUCUGGACACGUGGACAGUGCGUGAUACCUAUACUUUGCUUAAGAUGCCCCUGUGCAUGGUCCACCCAUGCCUGCAUGACCUUUUUGCUGAUUGGCUCCCCUACUGCCCAUGUCUUUUGUAAGCUUUAUAAGGCUGCAUACUUCUUCAAUAAAGUGGUUCCUGCUUCCACAGAACUCACGGGUGCUUGUGGUGUGUUCAUCACCCGUCGACCUUACCCUUCCCAUUUGCCUUGUUGGGGUGUGCUUGCACUGCCCCUGCUGGUCAGGGGCUAGCAUUGGGCUUGAGACUCUGACAGAAUAGUCUAUUUGAAAAACAGUGUAGAUCAACUUUUUGAGCAGUCAUAUAAGGAGCCUUCUACCUGACAGCAUCAGAACACAUACACUUAAAAAAAAAGUUUAUUUAGUUAUUUGAAAGACAGAGUUGCAGAGAAAGAGAGUAAGAGAUAAAUUGAUAGAUCUUCCAUCUGCUGGUUCACUAACCUAAAGGCCACAACAGUCAGGAAUGAGUCAGGCGAAAGCAGGAGCUAGGCGCUUGUUCCAGGUCUCUGACAAGGAUUCAGAGGCCAAGGAAUUGAGGCAUCUUCUGCUUUCCCAUGUGCAUUAGCGAUG